UUUAUGCACAUUGCAUCAAGCAAAAAGUGACAUAAUAUGGAACAACCUAUGACUUGAAGAAAUUUGUGUAACAUUUAAACCUAUUUUGUGCACAUUCAGGCAUGUAAAAGAAGCAAUUUUUUUGGUGUUUAUAUUGUUUGUCUGUGAUUUGGACAACCAAGCCUGUGCUCUCAACGCAGGGGAAACAAAUUCUGCCGGGGACAACUACCUUGACAUGACUGCCACAAUAAAAACUGAACCUGUGCUCUCAACGCAGGGGAAACAAAUUCUGCCGGGGACAACUACCUUGACAUGACUGCCACAAUAAAAACUGAAGGUCCAGGAGCCUCGGGUACAGCACAGACAGGUCCCAAGUCUGUCACAGGACACAGAGACACAGACACAGUUCAACUAAACUAACCCAACUUACUGCAUGUCUUUGGA